GGAAAAAAAUUCAUCAAUCUGUAGGAUGCUUUCUCUGCUGAUCCGUUAUCGCCGCAAAUGCCAAGUCUAAACAGCCUGACCUUAGCUUUAUUAAGAGCUUUCUGUUCACCGAGAGUUACUAUUCAACAGGAGAAAAAAGCUGCAGUGCUGCUAGGAGGUGUGCGUGAGUGUGUGUGAGUGUGUGUGUGUGUGUGUGUGUGUGUGUGUGUGUGUGUGUGCUCGCGCGCGUGAGAGGGAGGGGGGCACGAGGGAGAGGGAGAAACUCAUUUGUUUGAAAAAACGUUCAUUUUCAUUUUCUUUCUUUCCUAGUUUUCUUUUUCACCCCGUAUCCUAAUGGAAUAAUGGACUCCUGUGCGUGUUUACAUAUGUGUAUUUCUCAUUAGAAAUAUAUCAACUACGGAAACCAAAUAUAAUUGAGAAAACUAUGUUUCAUCCCUUUCCAUGUCUGACUUUGAUCUAACAUUGAGGGGGAGGGAAAAAAACAAAAACCAAACCUUUGCCCCUCUCCCACCAAUCCCCAAGCUGAUAAAUAGGAAGGAGAGACAACUGCCCUCCCUCACUUCAGCACGUUGGGCCUCCUGGAGUGAAAAAUGAAGGUGAUGGUGACCAACCGGAAGAGCUCUAGUGAACCUAUUUAAACAACAGACAGCAACAGAUACCUGUCUCAGUGGAGGCGUUCGGAGCAUCACUGAGAAUCCCUAAAGGGACCGAACCUUCUUUCUUUUCUUUUCUUUUCUUUCUUUUUCCUUUUCCUUUUCUCUCUUUCUUUUUUUUUUCUUUUUUCUUUUUUCUUUUUUUGCUUAAAUAGGUAGCCUGUUUGAUAGGGCUAGGUACUUUAAACACCUGUGGAAGAGAAACCACAGAAGGGCAAGGACAUGAACCGAUUAUCUCUAUCAGAAAUCCUCUGUAUGAGAGAAAACACCCUUUCUUGGGAAGAGGAGGAGGAGGAGGAGGAAAAGAAGGAAGAAAAGGAGGAAGAGGAGGAGAAAGAGGAAGACUUAGAACAUCCUAAUUUGGAUGGGGAAGACUGCACACCGAGGGAUGAAGGCAGAGGGGCUGGUCUUCGCUGUUGCUUUAAUGUCUCAGGGUAGUCCACCAGUGGUCCAGACAUAUUGGAAGACACUUUGGCUGGGGGGAAGGUAAGUCCAGAUCACAUCCAAAAUGAAAACCAGUUAAGACAUAAUUAGCAAAAAAUAUAUGGUUAUUGCCUUGUAAUUGACAGAUGGAAACAUUGUGUUCUAGGCUAUGCUAUGAUUUGAAAAGGUAGGAAGAAAAAAAAUUUAAUCUCCCUGGCCCCUCCUCCUACCAUGGUAUUUACUAACUUCAAUUAAAAAAAAAAUAUUGUUUUCAGCAUUAGCUCUUUUGGGUCAUUUAGAGAAUAAAAAAAAUUACUGUCUAUUAUGUCUAAGAAUA
rnacentral:lncRNA from 1 species